rnacentral:rRNA from 1 species
CACACGACUCUCGGCAACGGAUAUCUCGGCUCUCGCAUCGAUGAAGAAAGUAGCGAAAUGCGAUACCUGGUGUGAAUUGCAGAAUCCCGCGAACCAUCGAGUCUUUGAACGCAAGUUGCGCCCGAGGCCACUCGGCCGAGGGCACGCCUGCCUGGGCGUCACGC